rnacentral:rRNA from 1 species
UACGUAGGGCCCGAGCGUUAUCCGAUUUUAUUGGGCGUAAAGAGUGCGUAGGCGGUGAUUUAAGACAAUGGUUAAAGACCUGGGCUCAACUCAGGGAAUGCCGUCGUGACUGAUUCACUAGACGAUAGCAGGGGCAAGCAGAAUUCUCGGUGUAGGGGUGAAAUCCGUUGAUAUCGAGAAGAAUACCAAUGGCGAAGGCAGCUUGCUAGGCUAUAUGUGACGCUGAGGCACGAAAGCGUGGGGAGCGAACGGG